CCUACGGGGCGCUGCAGUGGGGAAUAUUGGACAAUGGGCGAAAGCCUGAUCCAGCCAUGCCGCGUGUGUGAAGAAGGCCUUCGGGUUGUAAAGCACUUUCAGUGGGGAAGAAAGCCUUGGGGCUAAUACCCUCGAGGAAGGACAUCACCCACAGAAGAAGCACCGGCUAACUCCGUGCCAGCAGCCGCGGUAAUACGGAGGGUGCGAGCGUUAAUCGGAAUUACUGGGCGUAAAGCGCGCGUAGGUGGUCUGAUAAGCCGGUUGUGAAAGCCCCGGGCUCAACCUGGGAACGGCAUCCGGAACUGUCAGGCUAGAGUGCAGGAGAGGAAGGUAGAAUUCCCGGUGUAGCGGUGAAAUGCGUAGAGAUCGGGAGGAAUACCAGUGGCGAAGGCGGCCUUCUGGACUGACACUGACGCUGAGGUGCGAAAGCGUGGGUAGCAAACAGGAUUAGAUACCCUGGUAGUC
rnacentral:rRNA from 1 species